rnacentral:rRNA from 1 species
UACAGGGGGUGCAAACGUUGCUCGGAAUUAUUGGGCGUAACGCGCGCGUAGGCGGCCACUUAAGUCGGAUGUGAAAGCCCCUGGCUCAACUGGGGAAGUGCACCCGAAACUGAAUGGCUUGAGUGCGAAAGAGGGUCGCGGAAUUCCCGGUGUAGAGGUGAAAUUCGUAGAUAUCGGGAGGAACACCUGUGGCGAAGGCGGCUUUCUGGGCCUUACCUGACGCUGAGACGCGAAAGCGUGGGGAGCGAACCGG